GGCCAGUUAGUUCAGUUGGUUAGAGCAUGGUGCUAAUAACACCAAGGUUGUGGGUUCGAUCCCCUUACAGGCCA
rnacentral:tRNA from 1 species